rnacentral:rRNA from 1 species
AGCGGUGGAGCAUGUGGUUUAAUUCGAAGCAACGCGAAGAACCUUACCAGGGUCUUGACAUACUCGUGCUAUUCCUAGAGAUAGGAAGUUCCUUCGGGACACGGGAUACAGGUGGUGCAUGGUUGUCGUCAGCUCGUGUCGUGAGAUGUUGGGUUAAGUCCCGCAACGAGCGCAACCCUUAUUGUUAGUUGCCAUCAUUAAGUUGGGCACUCUAGCGAGACUGCCGGUAAUAAACCGGAGGAAGGUGGGGAUGACGUCAAAUCAUCAUGCCCCUUAUGACCUGGGCUACACACGUGCUACAAUGGUUGGUACAACGAGUCGCAAGACAGUGAUGUCAAGCUAAUCUCUUAAAGCCAAUCUCAGUUCGGAUUGUAGGCUGCAACUCGCCUACAUGAAGUCGGAAUCGCUAGUAAUCGCGGAUCAGCACGCCGCGGUGAAUACGUUCCCGGGCCUUGUACACACCGCCCGUCACACCACGAGAGUUUGUAAUACCCAAAGCCGGUGAGCUAACCUUUUAGGAGGCAGCCGUCUAAGGUAGGAUAGAUGAUUGGGGUGAAGUCGUAACAAGGUAGCCGUAUCGGAAGGUGCGGCUGGAUCACCUCCUU